UACGAAGGGGGGCUAGCGUUGCUCGGAAUCACUGGGCGUAAAGGGUGCGUAGGCGGGUCUUUUAAGUCAGGGGGUGAAAUCCUGGAGCUCAACUCCAGAACUGCCUUUGAUACUGAAGAUCUUGAGUUCGGGAGAGGUGAGUGGAACUGCGAGUGUAGAGGUGAAAAUUUCGUAGAUAUUCGCAAGAACACCAGUGGCGAAGGCGGCUCACUGGCCCCGAUACUGACGCUGAGGCACGAAA
rnacentral:rRNA from 1 species